UCACGUACAUCCUAUUUAUUAAAUAUAAAUUAAUCAUUUAAAUAAAUAAAUAAGCAAAAAAAAAAAAAAAAAGUAAAAAAAAAAACGUGCUGUAACUCACAGCACCACCCUCCCAAUCCCAAACCCCAACCCAUCCCCAAGCCCCAGCCAAAAACAUCCGAACUCAAAUCAAAAAGUCAAUCUUCUCCGCCGCCCUGGAGAGAUUGAAAGGACUGCAGCCGCGGUAAAGGGAUUGUAAGGACGGCGGUGAUGGAGGUGGAGCAAAUCUCCUACAUGUUAAUCUCCGUCGCCAUAGAUCGGAAACUGUUCAAGGACAAAGACGGUGCCGGCGGCAGCGGCUCCCGUACGACCAUCAUCAAGAAACAAUUACUAUGGCAGAUUCUCCAAUCAGUCUUCUCUAUUUUUCCUCUCCAAAACCCUCUUUCUUUUCCCCUUUUACCACCGUUUUCUUUUUCUUUAUCUUCUCCGUUUUCCUCUUGUUCGUCUCUUCCCUGCACCCGCUGCCGUAUGCUUCCGCUUUCGAGAUAUCACUUUCGUUUAUCAGCUUGAUUGUGUUUGGAGGUGAGCAGAGUUUGUUAAGAAAGAGGGUCGGAGGCGGUGGUUUGUCUGUGUUGGGCCUGUAAUGCUUAUUUUAAUGUUGAUUCGACUUCGAAUUUGGUUGUUGUUUUGGUGAAUUUGGGAUUUAGGAUUUUUCUGAUCGGUUUGUUGCAGCCUACGAUUUUUCCUAUUGUUCAGGUUUACGGUGGUAGACGGAACUUUUGGCAGGGGGAUGAGUUUGGGGGUGGUGGGUGAAGGGAAG
rnacentral:lncRNA from 1 species